rnacentral:rRNA from 1 species
GACGAACGCUGGCGGCGUGCUUAACACAUGCAAGUCGAACGGAAAGGCCCUGCUUUUGUGGGGUGCUCGAGUGGCGAACGGGUGAGUAACACGUGAGUAACCUGCCCUUGACUUUGGGAUAACUUCAGGAAACUGGGGCUAAUACCGGAUAGGAGCUCCUGCUGCAUGGUGGGGGUUGGAAAGUUUCGGCGGUUGGGGAUGGACUCGCGGCUUAUCAGCUUGUUGGUGGGGUAGUGGCUUACCAAGGCUUUGACGGGUAGCCGGCCUGAGAGGGGGACCGGCCACAUGGGGACUGAGAUACGGCCCAGACUCCUACGGGAGGCAGCAGUGGGGAAUAUUGCACAAUGGGCGGAAGCCUGAGGCAGCAACGCCGCGUGCGUGAUGACGGCCUUCGGGUUGUAAACCGCUUUCGCCUGUGACGAAGCGUGAGUGACGGUAAUGGGUAAAGAAGCACCGGCUAACUACGUG